rnacentral:rRNA from 1 species
CCUACGGGAGGCAGCAGUGGGGAAUAUUGCGCAAUGGGCGAAAGCCUGACGCAGCGACGCCGCGUGAGGGAUGAAGGUCGGCGGAUCGUAAACCUCUGUCAGCAGGGAAGAACGGUCACGGUGCUAAUCAGCAGUGAAUUGACGGUACCUGCAAAGGAAGCACCGGCUAACUCCGUGCCAGCAGCCGCGGCAAGACGGAGGGUGCGAGCGUUAAUCGGCAUUACUGGGCGUAAAGCGCGCGUAGGCGGUAUGUCAAGUCAAGGGUGAAAUCCCCGCGCUCAACGUGGGAACUGCCUUUGAGACUUGCAAACUGGAGUGUGUGAGAGGCUAGUGGAAUUCCAGGUGUA